CCUCCCACCUGCUCGCCACCUCAGCUUCUGGAAUUGGACUCUGCUCCGUCUGGCUGAGGCCCUGCCUGUCUCCUAGGCCCCCGGGGCCCCCUGGGGCAGGCCGUGUCCCUGAACUCAGCCCAGAUGCCCCAGGCACAGGUGCUGCCAGAUGCUUUGCUGGGGGCUUUGUACAGGUGCCGCUGGGACCACAUGUGAGGCGCCUGGCACGCCACGAGGCUGGUGUCUCUCAGAAUAGGCAGGAAACAGAUGGCCCGCUUAUGGGAGAAAAGAGGCUUGUUCAUGAAAAGAGCAUUUUCGGAGGUGCUGCCAGGGUUGAGGGAAACCACCAGAGCCGCCGCAGAAUCAGUGGACCUGUGAGGGCGGCAGCUAUGACCACCCCCAGGCCGAAGGGGUCUGGGAAGGAUGCUUGUUACCGAGCGAGGGCCAGGGCCUCAGGCCUGAUGGCAGCUCCUCUCCUCACGGGGGGGGGUGAAGGAGAAAACGUAGCCCUCCCCACACGCUUUCCUCCGUAUGACGUCCUCUACUCUUCCUGCUUGGCCGAAAGUCCCGGCCGGAAGCUAGAGGGUGAGGGAGUCAGGUGGGCAAAGUCACCCACCCGCUGGGCAGCUCCCUGGGGCAGAGCGUGGGGUGGAAAGAACGGGGGUUCCUGUCUCGGAUAAGAGGGUACCUGGGGGGAGCAAAUAGCCGGUCAUUACCCCCCAAACGGGAGACAUUUGACAACGUUAAUGUGGUGGUGGUGAAGGUGACGAUGGAGGACGCGGAGGUUGUGCCGACGGCGGUGAUGAUGACGUUGCCAGCGCUGGAGACGAGCAUCCCCCACGGACGUUGUUGCGGACCCGAUCCAAGUUCUGCUCGUUCCCGGGAAACCCCGCACCGGGGUCUGCCCACUCGACCGCCUCGCCGGAUCACCCCUGGAUCAUGCAACACCCUCCCACUGGGUUCCCUGCCGCCCCCGCCACCAUCUGUCUUCCACGCGGCAGCCGACGGAGCCUGAGAACACGCGCCGAGGGGUCUCCCCUCCGCUCACAGCCCCCGCGCGGCCUCGCUGCACCAGCCUGAGCGGAAGUGCGACCACGGGCCCCAGGCCGCCCCGCUCUGCCUGCCCUGCUUUUUCCGCAGCACUUAGCGCCUUUUAAUCUACUACUUUAGGCCUGUGUUCUCUUUUUUGCUUUUUUCCUGUCGUCCCACACGCGGGCACUAAUUCCAUACAGGCCCAGGUCUGUCUGUUUUGCUCGCCGACAUACGAUGAGGGGGAGGAGAGGACGCAGCGCCUGGCCCAGGCCCGGCCCAUGGGAGGUGCUUAGUAAAUAUUUGCUAAGUGAAUGAAUGCACGGAAUGCAUUUCUAUUUCCAGCCCCAGCCAGGCCCCUGGCAACCCAGAAAGCAGACAGCUCUGCAAAGAAGAAAGCCCCAGCUCUCAGGGUUUGAGGACAGUUUCCGUUUGAAGGGCUGGCUGAGAAACAGGUUUUUCCCUCCUCGGAUCUGAGAUCUCCCAGCACCUCCUGCUGCCAGGUUUCCCCGAGCAGCUGAGCGGACAGGCUGGGGGAGGGGAGGGGGCUCCGCGGUGGGGGCGGAGCACUGAGGCCGCAGGCUGUCCCUGCAGCUGUUCCCGGGGCAAAUGCCUGGAAUUCUGGGAUCAUUCCCACCGGCCAAGCCAAGCCCGGGCCAGCCGAGGGCUGACCCCCUCCAAGCCAGGAGGGCCUGCCUGCCACUGCCUUCCGUGUUCUCCCGAGAGAGCCGUGGGCCUCGUCCCGGACCCCGAAGGCCAACCUCGUGGGAGUGACGGGCCCGAGUGUGCCCCCUCCCAGCCCUCCCGGGGGAGUCGCAGCUCAGCCUGGCCUGUUCACUGUCACACGCCCGAUGGUCCGGGCCGCUCCACAAGUCACAAGGCAGAUUUUCCAUUAGCGUCAAACGGAUCCUGACCUGCAACUGAUGGACCCUCCGCAAAGUGAGGGACACGACCCGGAUGCUACGAGACAGAGGAUUCGUCAUUUGCCUGGUUGCAAGUGCCUACUGGAUGCUUCUGCGCCCCACACGUUUGUGGAGCACCUACUGUGUCCCUAGCACUGUGACCUCUGGGUGACCCCCGCCCCGCCAGGCAUGAGAAAGUCGGGGUGCUCCCGACAUGAGGUGUAAGGGCCCCGAGGGGCACUAUCAGCUGGGAGUGGAGGCAGGAAAUCUCUCCCCGGACUGCCAGGCUCUGGUGCUUUCAACUUCCCAGAUACAAUUUCCUCUUCGUCUUGGGAACAAAAUCCCUUUGCUUCCCUUUAUCGAAACUUCCUUGCCCAAGCUUUACCCUCAUGAUGGCUUCUGUUGCUGGCUUACAGCCUCGCCAUCCCCAGGGUGGUCACAUGGGCUGGCCGCAGUCACGUGACCCAAGGCCAGCCAAAGACAGAACUGCACGCCCCCACCCCCAGAAACCAGUUAAGGGACGCCCGUGGUGACCCAAGUCCAAACAAUCAAAAUGACGCUCAGGGUUUUGCUGGAAUGGUGAAGGCAGAAUGACCCUGGUCCUCCAAGUGGGGAGUCCUGAGGAACCCUUAGGCCUAGAGCUCUGGGGCCACCUUCGCCCGAGAGCAAAGCCAAGUGAAAUCAAGGUUAGAGUCUGAGUAAGAUGCUGCCCGGUGGCGUCUUUGAGCUGCGGCCGUGCCUAAAAGUUAGCUGCCUUCUACACUCUCCUGUCGAGUGAACCAGAAAACUCUUCGUUCCUGAAACGAGCUUCGCUUGGGACCCGUCCCUUGUAACCAAAGGAAUCCUCUGUGCAACUGAACAGUAUAAUUCUCAAUGUAUGGAAACGGGGUUCUCUAGACGCGUACGGGGAGCAAAGCAACGCACCUGCCACAUCUCCCCGAGGGUCAGGCUGGUGGGCCAGCAAUGGGUCCGGGGAGGGCCCGCAGAGCAUACAGCAGGCAGCACAGGGGCGGGUCCUGGUGACGUCAGAGAGCAGCAAAGAAGUCAGGCUUCGGCUGCAGAGAGAUGAACAACCGCCCAUCGCAUCAUGCCCUCACCUUACUAGAGUCGCUGUUCUUGCCUGACUGAUUAGCAGCGUUGAGGGAGAGGAUUGUGCCGGGCGGCCUCCGUGGGUGCAGGGCUCCGGAUGCCUGUUUCUGGGAUUCAAGUGCCACUUAAUUUGGAAUAGUCCUCUGGGUCCAGAGCAGAAAGUGACCUCAGAGACGAGCCCGUCUCUGUCACGGGGCUGGGCCGCAGGACCUAAGUGAGCCAACAAGGGACACCCUCACUCAGCGUUCUGGAGGCUGGAGUGUGAGCCCCACACGUCAGCCGUGAUAUUCUCAGGCUUAGGUCACAUCACCUCAGUCCCUGCCUCCAUCGCCGCCUGGCCUCUUCCCUGUGUGUCUGUGAGUCCUCCUCUUAUAAAGACACCAGCCGUCGGAUUUAGGGCCCACACUCACCACUAGGACCUCACCUCAGCUUGAUUACGUCUGCAAAGACCUUAUUUCCCUAUAAGGUCACAUUGUGAUGUUCCAGGCAGAUGUGAGUUUGGGGGAACCCUAUUCAACCCACUCCAUCGUCCCACAGUCCCACACAGAUGAGGAAACCGCAUCUAAACCGUGAGAUUUUUCAGGCCAGCUGGGAUCGACCUUGGAGCACAGCCUGUAUCCUUCCCGGCCCUGCCUUCCAACGACCAGCUCCUCUAGAAGCUCUGGGCCUUCAGCGCUUGGCCCCCUUCCAGCCGGCUGGGCUCCCCCGUCCUGGGCCCAUCCUCCCCCCUCCAGGGAGCGGGGAGGAGCCGUCUCCAGACACACUGUCAAGUGGAUAAAGCUGGAUGCAGUAAGCAGUGUGCUGUCUUUGGUGCAAUAAAAGAACACUUGGCCCUGAUGCUUCUGUCACCACACGUGGGGGCUUUGGUCCCCACCGCAAGCAAUUCUCUGCAACACCAGCCGGGUGUCCUACAAUUUAACUCAAUUCUGGCACCAUCCACCCAAAGACAGCGUCGGAUCCCACAGGUUAGGGGCUGAGUCCCACGACACCCUACCCCUGUCACCCCCGACACCCCCCCUUCAGGCGCCAAUCACGACCAUCAGGGCCCAGCAGACCCACUGCUUCUGACCACGGGCUGCAACCAGGGUUCCCACGACCCUCCUGGGCUUCCAUCAGUUUGCUAGAGCGGCUCCCAGAUCUCCAGGAAACACGGUCACCGGGUCAUCGUGUGACAAAGGAGGGGACAAAGUUGCAGAUGAGCAGUCGGAUGGAGGGAUAAUGCCAACAAGUAAUUACAUGAAUGCUGUGGGCUGCCGCUCUGCCGGGGAGGGACCCGGCUCCACCCCUGCUUGGGGCAGGGCGUCCCGCGGCCUCCGGGCCACACAGCCCUGCUGGGGAAGUUUUGGCCCAAGCCAGGCCUCGGCCCGGGAGAAGCAGAGGGAGGGCCGUUCCAGAUGACAAGAAAUGGAACAGACCUGGGGCGCCUGGGUGGCUCAGUUAAACAUGCGACUUCGGCUCGGGUCAUGAUGUCCUGGUUCAUGAGUUUGAACCCCACAUCGGGCUCUGUGCUGACAGCUCAGAGCCUGGAGCCUGCUUCCGAUUCUGCCUGUGUGUGUGUGUCUCUCUCUCUGCCCCAUUCGUGCUCUGUCUCUCUCUCUGUCUC